rnacentral:rRNA from 1 species
UCUGCCCUUUGGCCUGGAAUAACACGACGAAACUUGUGCUAAUACCGGAUAAGUCUUUACGGAGAAAGCUUUAUGCACCAUUGGAUGAGCCUGCACUUGAUUAGUUUGUUGGUGGGGUAAUGGCCUACCAAGACUGUGAUCAAUAGCUGAUUUGAGAGGAUGAUCAGCCACAUUGGGACUGAGACACGGCCCAAACUCCUACGGGAGGCAGCAGUGGGGAAUCUUGCACAAUGGAGGAAACUCUGAUGCAGCGAUGCCGCGUGAGUGAAGAAGGCCUUUGGGUUGUAAAGCUCUUUCGUCGGGGAAGAAAAUGACU